rnacentral:lncRNA from 1 species
CGGACCGUGUAGCCAGCAGGAGGUGGAAGCUGUGAAGGGAUGUCACCUCCGAGUGGGGCUGAUGGGACCACUCUGGGGCCCUCUCUCCAACUACCGGCUCUGGGAGACGCUCCAGUGGCACCCGGAAAGGAGCUAGUGCCUCCCGUGAACCUCACGCCAGUGAGCUGGGAAGUGGACCCUUUGGCCCCCAACUGAGAUGAGGCCACCACAUGGGAGCCCUGAGAAUCUGGGCCACCCAGCCAGACCGGCACCAACCUCAGCCAGGCACUGUGAGGUGUUUGCGGGCUACUGGGAUUUAGGCGGGCUAGUUACACAGCAACAGACGAGCACUACUCUUCUGGGCAGGGUGGUGCGGGUGGAGCCAGGGCGGUGGGUCAAGUUCUGGGAGCACUAGCCGUUGUCCUCUCUCGGGUGGGAGUGAUAACUGCAGAGCCCAAACAGUGUGUUCCUCACUGCGUUUUCUAUGAUAGUGUAAUGGCAUGAGAGCAAGAUGAAGAUGCAGAACCAGCAUCUCACAGACGAACAUCCUGCUGAGCCUGACAUUUCUGGAGGUGCUUCCCGACGGCUUGGACCGGACGCCAGGGAUUCACACCCUCUGUUCCUGAAGGUGGAAACCUUCCAAACUGCUGACCCAAGCAACGGGUGGUCACCGCACUCCAAACAACAGCUCCAGUGCACCUGGAGACCAGCUCCAGAAAGCAAGUUAAACAAUGAAAUGGUAAAGUAUCUGAGCAGGCGUGUCCCAGGUGGGAACAGACUUGUAGCCAGGACAAGAGCGCCCCACACACAUGUCUGCGUCUGCUUGUGCAACUGUGCUUUGAAAAUAGAACGUGUCUGAUAUUCAACAUGGAACACCCAGAUGUAAGAUAUAAAAUGCCCGUGCAGGUGCUGCUCACCCGUGCAAUGCUAGCCGCGGCGUGCUGUCAACAGUUCCUUGAUUCCUGAAGCAAACACGUCCCCCAUGUCCCAUACCUUCUAUCAUGGCCAGAGCCCCUGAGCACCUGUAUUCAGGAGCCCUGGACAGGUGUGAGUGCCCUGUGUCUGCGGG